UACGGAGGGGGCUAGCGUUGUUCGGAAUUACUGGGCGUAAAGCGCACGUAGGCGGCUUUGUAAGUUAGAGGUGAAAGCCCGGGGCUCAACUCCGGAAUUGCCUUUAAGACUGCAUCGCUAGAACGUCGGAGAGGUAAGUGGAAUUCCGAGUGUAGAGGUGAAAUUCGUAGAUAUUCGGAAGAACACCAGUGGCGAAGGCGACUUACUGGACGACUGUGACGCUGAGGUGCGAAAGCGUGGGAGCAACAGGAUA
rnacentral:rRNA from 1 species